rnacentral:rRNA from 1 species
UUAAAAAGCUCGUAGUUGGAUUUCUGGCGGGGACCCAAGUACCCCUGGUGGGUGUGCGCGGGCCCGGCCAUCCUUCUGUCAACUUUCGCGCGUCCUUCACCGGUCGGCAAAGGGAUCAGAUAAUUUACCUUGAGAAAAUUAGAGUGUUUCAGGCAGGCUUAGCCGGAAUACAUUAGCAUGGAAUAAUGGAAUAGGACUGAGGUCUCGUUGUUGGUUACGCGGACUCCAGUAAUGAUUAAUAGGGACAGUUGGGGGCAUUAGUAUUUAUUAGCUAGAGGUGGAAUUCUCUAAUUUGAUAAAGACUAACUUAUGCGAAAGCAUUUGCCAAGGAUGUUUUCAUUAAUCAAGAACGAAAGUUAGGGGAUCAAAGACGAUCAGAUACCGUCCUAGUCUUAACCAUAAACUAUGCCGACUCGGGAUCGGGAGCGUGUGUUAUCCGCUUUCGGCACCGUAUGAGAAAUCAAAGUCUUUGGGUUAUGGGGGGAGUAUGGUCGCAAGGCUGAAACUUAAAGGAAUUGACGGAAGGGCACCACCAGGCGUGGAGCUUGCGGCUCAAUUUGACU